rnacentral:lncRNA from 1 species
UAGGGUUUCUGCAACUUUAUUCGCACCUAUCCUUCUCAUCCAAUCGCAUCCAUUCGCACUUCAUUCUGCCGAUGUCUUCCAAAACCUAAUGGAUCCUUCAGUCGUUCAAUCUGUCGUUCCAUCCAAGCCUAUAAAAUCCAAUGUUCCAUCAGGUUAAUCUAUUCAGGUACGAUUCCUUAUUUUCCUCACAAAACCUAAUCCAAAAAAUUAUCCUCUGUCUGAAAUGGCGCUGCCAAAAUCUUAUCAAGAUGGAUUGAGAUUGCUUAGCGAACAAAACCUAAUUCAGAGCUAUGGAAGAUCUCUGAUUUUUCUAGCAGGUUCAUAACCUACCAGAACCACUGUGGCAUAAAUUGAAUGCAUCACAUUUCUCUACUCCACACUAUCUCAAAACUUGAAUCUCGAUUACUUGGUUCAACACUACGGCUGGUUGGGAAGUUCAUUUUGUAGCAAUUUGUGUGAUCCGUGACCCAUGUCCUUCUCUGAAUGGGAGCACUUGUAUAAGAGUUGAGGGACUACUUGAACAGCGAGAUGGAAUUGAAAUUGUUGGAUUGGAUAAAACAGCAACGCAAUUAGGUCACGUUACGCACACCAUUCAAUUUUGCUAUAGAGAUCCCUGUAUUCUAGCUAAUGGGAGCUUUUUACAUGGAUAAUAAACCUAUCCUUAAAGAGUUAAAGUUGAUAGAAAAGUUUGCAUUUUUAUGGAAAAUUGCUUUGGUUAACUUUCUUCAUAAAAUGAGCAAGGGGAAGAGUUGUUUUUUUGUCAAUAGCAAAGAGAUUGUUGAUUUAUGCUAGUUUUUAAUAUGACACAAAAUCCAUCAAGGUCAGGAUCAUGACCGGAGAAACAAGAACCUACAAGUGGAUGUCAAAUAAGUAACAAUACAUAGGCCUAAUCCACCUAAAAAUCAACCUAAUUCAAUCAGUCUAGACGGAGAGAAACGCCAGGAUUUCCAAAAAGGUUAAGAGAUCGACCAAUGUUAUUGUGGAAGAGAUUGUCGCGAGAUCUUUUGGCUGGAUAAAGAACAGAUGCUAGCAGUCUAAUCUAAUAUCUGUUGGGAUAUUUGUGUCAAGCCGUCUUUUUCUGUAUAUCAGCUUGCUAGGCCUUGUGGUUUAAUAUAGUUAUUUUGUUUGCUGGAAAAAAACAAGACUAGAGAGGUAGAUGUUUUUUAUUACUUUUAUCUUUGACUUAAAAGGAGCAACACUAAAAGGUCUUU